GCCCAGCCGUAAACCUUAACUUACACCCAAAUCGCCAGGGAAUUACGAGCAAAGCUUAAAACCCAAAGGACUUGACGGUACCCCAUAUCCCCCUAGAGGAGCCUGUUCUAUAAUCGAUAAUCCACGUUUAACCUCACCACUUUUAGCCUAUCAGCCUGUAUACCUCCGUCGUCAGCUUACCACGUGAGCGACCAUAGUGAGCUUAAUGUCCGUCCGCCAAAACGUCAGGUCAAGGUGCAGCUUAUAGAGUGGGAAGAGAUGGGCUACAUUCUCUAACCUAGAAAAUACGAAAGACUACUUAUGAAACCUAGUCGGAAGGCGGAUUUAGAAGUAAAAAGAGACAAGAAAGCUCUUUUUAACCCGGCACUGGGGUGUGUACACACCGCCCGUCACCCUCUUCGAAGCCAAUAAUCCAGUACUUAACCCACCAUAGCAAGAUAGAAGAGGCAAGUCGUAACAUGGUAAGCGCACCGGAAGGUGUGCUUGGAAAC
rnacentral:rRNA from 1 species